GCGGGAAUGCUGGAAUUGGCAGACAGGCAUGACUAAGGAUCAUGUGUCGUCACGACGUGCGGGUUCAAGUCCCGCUUUCCGCA
rnacentral:tRNA from 1 species